rnacentral:rRNA from 1 species
GACGAACGCUGGCGGCGUGCCUAAUACAUGCAAGUUGAGCGCUGAAGGUUGGUACUUGUACCAACUGGAUGAGCAGCGAACGGGUGAGUAACGCGUGGGGAAUCUGCCUUUGAGCGGGGGACAACAUUUGGAAACGAAUGCUAAUACCGCAUAAAAACUUUAAACACAAGUUUUAAGUUUGAAAGAUGCAAUUGCAUCACUCAAAGAUGAUCCCGCGUUGUAUUAGCUAGUUGGUGAGGUAAAGGCUCACCAAGGCGAUGAUACAUAGCCGACCUGAGAGGGUGAUCGGCCACAUUGGGACUGAGACACGGCCCAAACUCCUACGGGAGGCAGCAGUAGGGAAUCUUCGGCAAUGGACGAAAGUCUGACCGAGCAACGCCGCGUGAGUGAAGAAGGUUUUCCGAUCGUAAAACUCUGUUGGUAGAGAAGAACGUUGGUGAGAGUGGAAAGCUCAUCAAGUGACGGUAACUACCCAGAAAGGGACGGCUAACUACGUG